CUGCAGACUGCUCCUCCACCCCAGCUCCACCUUUUAGUGCUGAGUCAGCGUCAUAUAACCAUCACUCAGUACGUUUACAUGACGGGUCAAGAAAACCGAAUUAUCGCCUUUUUCCGAUUAAGACGGAGUUUAAGAACUUCAAUUAAGACACCCAGAUAACGUGAUUGGAAUUCGAUUUUCUCUACCAUGUAACCAGCGUAGUCAGAGUAUGAUCGGUUACAGGCCACGCCCCCAUAACCCCGUAACAAACCCCCAGAGUAGAGGAGUAGCGUUGGUCUCCUCUUUAGAAAAAGUAGCGCGUCCAUCAUGUCGGACAAAAACAACGCUGUACGAUGCUCCAUCUUCUUGUUUCUCCAAAAUGCCCAGCAGCAGUUGUAGACACUUCUGACGUCUGACACCGACCUGCUGUUGUUGUUGACGGUUGGAUGGGGUCGGAAACAGCGCCGCUGAAAAGACCCAUAUCGCCCCCUAGUGUUGGGGAGGAGGACACGUUCACGUCAAUAAUUCAGUUUUCUCAGCUGCAUGUAAACGAGGACGAGGAGAGAAGUCUGAUUCAGAGAAAAAGACGAAUAAUGGUGGUCUGUCCUGAUGUCCUGAGGAGAGUACCGGUUUUGUUUUGGUUGUGGUUUGAAGUCCUGAUCCAGAUCCACAGAUUUUUAGAGUUUUUCGGUGACACAUGAGGCCUUGGCGUGUCAGAGUGAACCCAGAUCAGGUGGAUUAAUCCAGGUGCUGUUUGUCCUGCUGUGAGACAGAUUAUCAUCCAGAGGGAGUGAUUUAGUGAAGUGCGAGGGAGUCAGAUUAAAUUUUCAGGACAUGAAGCUUUAAUCCCGUCACAGGAAGAACAAACCCCUGUGUGUGUGUGUGUGUGUGUGUGUGUAUUAUGUAAAGCAGACACAUCUCCUUCCUCGGUGACUCACUCUCAGAGCCGUUUCUCUCUGUCGAUCCUGAAAAUGUGCAGCGUAGUAAUCCGCCGUAUUUAUAGUCCGGAGCGAUGAGUCAGAGUCGGGGUCGCUCCCGGACCGACGUCAUGACGACACAAGUUUAUUACUAAGACCAAAGAUGGCAGAGAUGGUCGCAGGUUUUCCUCUUAUGGUGACGUCUGAAGAAGCUUCACGUUGACCUUAAAGGUUAAAGAUGUUUAUCAGUCCGAUUAUUGAUUCAUGGUUUUAAUGAUCCUGUCGGAGACGCAUACCGGGUCUGUGUGAGUCCUUCAUGGAGGGAUUAUAAAACUGUGGAUCAGGACUAACAAAUACUGUUGUGUCGUUCACGAACGAUUCGUUCAAAAGAACCGAAUCUUUUAAGUGAACAUACUGAACUGAAUCACUUUGUGGUCGUUUGUGUUUCUUUAAGGUCGUGUCCAGAUUAUUUAGAGUCACUUUGAGUGUCUGUGAGAGUUUAGUCUGUUUUUGUGUACUUUGUGGGUUUGUUUUUGUGUACUUCGUGAUUGUUAAGUCUGUCUGUGUGGGUGUUUUGUGUUUCUCUGUUCACUUUAGUUCGUCUUUGUCUUUGUUGUUUCUUUAAAGUUGUUUUUAAGUCUAUGAGUUUUUAUUUGUUUUUUAGCUCUUGUGUUUUUUUAAUCGGUCUGACGGUUGUUUUUUAUUAGUUUUUUCGUUGUUUUUCGUCUCUUUGUUUCAUAUUUUUUACCCUCCUGUUAAAAUCGUUUCUCUCUUUCUGUCUUUCUAGUUUCUUCCUG